AGGAAAUCACCACCGCUUCAAUCCCGGAAAGAUAUCUGGGAAACACUGCUCUAUAUAGCAGCCACAUCUGCUACUCGAGGUUCAUCAGUUAAUAAUACUAUUACUUUUACGCCUGGCGAAGAUAAUAGCACCGUAUCAUCUCAAAGCGCGAUGUCGUUUGAACUAUUAUACGCUGUUGACAGCAGUUGUUUCGUUCUGUUUCAUAAAACUACUCCUACUCCUGAGACAAAAAG
rnacentral:lncRNA from 1 species